rnacentral:rRNA from 1 species
UACGUAGGGUGCGAGCGUUGUCCGGAAUUAUUGGGCGUAAAGAGCUCGUAGGCGGUCUGUCGCGUCGAAUGUGAAAACCCGGGGCUCAACUCCGGGCUUGCAUUCGAUACGGGCAGGCUAGAGUUCGGUAGGGGAGUCUGGAAUUCCUGGUGUAGCGGUGAAAUGCGCAGAUAUCAGGAGGAACACCGGUGGCGAAGGCGGAUCUCUGGGCCAUUACUGACGCUGAGGAGCGAAAGCGUGGGGAGCGAACAGG